rnacentral:lncRNA from 1 species
CAGUACCUGCCCAGCCGGAUCGAUCUCGCCCGAGACCGAUCGAGAUCCCCUCUCUCUCUCCCUCUCCCCAAAGCAAAGCUAGCGAGGCAGCGAAAGCACGUCACACACGGUACGUACGCGCAAGGCUUUAAAUUGUGCACGUACAUAUACUCGUGUACGUAGGACUCGAUCGUUACAGCUUUCUUUCUUUUUGCGAGUUGCGACAAUGAUUUGUCAAACACUUAAUUACUACUAUUAGUUGUACUACAUGCUGAUGUGCUGUGGAAAGAAAUGGGCACGGCUGAGCGUAGAGAAACGAGUACUGUAGUGUUAGCGUGGGCUUUGUGCACGUACGGACGGGUAAGCUUAUGACGGAACCUCACAAACAAACAAAAUGCUGUAAAAAAAACUUUCCAAGGAAAAAAAACAUCCGGAAUUAACCAUAACACAUAAAAUGACACUACAAGUACCCUCUGGCAUGAUGUUGCGUACUCUCUUCUUCGUUCACUUUCGAGGAUCUGGCGCCGCACCAUAUGUAAAUACUUUCCGUCGUGGAACACCAGUGAUCAGGACUUUAGUUUGUCCCAUGAGAGGGCUAGAAUGGGUUAGGGU